CUCUAACUUUCUUCUUCCCUCUUGCCAUAUUCAGUUCUCGUUUUCUAACCAAAAAAAAAAAGGAUUUUGGAGACAGAAAAUCGGUUGAACCAUGGAGCCCAUGGACAUUGUCGGCAAAUCAAAGGAAGAUGCUUCGCUUCCUAAAGAGAUGGAGAAAUGGUGCAAAGAGAAAAUAUUGGGUGGAGAAAGACCUCGGUUCGAUUCUUACCAAUAUCAUCUCGGGAAAGGAUAUAAAAUCUUAAUCCUAGACCCAUCCAGCAUUCAGGAUUAAUUUCAUAACCAGCUCAAAUAACCAAAACUAAUAAGGGAUAUUCUAUGAAGCCUUC